GACGAACGCUGGCGGCGUGCUUAACACAUGCAAGUCGAACGGAAAGGCCCUGCUUUUGUGGGGUGCUCGAGUGGCGAACGGGUGAGUAACACGUGAGUAACCUGCCCUUGACUUUGGGAUAUCUUCAGGAAACUGGGGUUAAUAUCCGAUAGGAGCUCCUGCUGCAUGGUGGGGGUUGGAAAGUUUCGGCGGUUGGGGAUGGACUCGCGGCUUAUCAGCUUGUUAGUGGGGUAGUGGCUUACCCAGGCUUUGAAGGGUCGCCUGCCUGAGAGGGUGGACGGCGACCAUGGGACUGCGAUACGGCCCAGAAUCCAACGGGAGGCAACAGUGGGGAAUCUUGCACAAUGGACGGAAGCGUGAUGCAACAGCCCCGGGUGCGGAAAGACGGCCUUCCGGUUGUAAACCGCUUUCGCCUGAAACGAAGCGUGAGUGACGGUAAUAGGUAAAGAAGCACCGGCUAACUACGUG
rnacentral:rRNA from 1 species